rnacentral:rRNA from 1 species
AUUGAACGCUGGCGGUAUGCUUAACACAUGCAAGUCGAACGGUAGCAGGCCUUCGGGUGCUGACGAGUGGCGGACGGGUGAGUAAUGCAGGAAUCUGCCUGUUAGUGGGGGACAACUUAGGGAAACUUAAGCUAAUACCGCAUACGCCCUACGGGGGAAAGCGGGGGACCUUUUAGGCCUCGCGCUAACAGAUGAGCCUAUGUUGGAUUAGCUAGUUGGUAGGGUAAAGGCCUACCAAGGCUGCGAUCCAUAGCUGGUCUGAGAGGAUGAUCAGCCACACUGGGACUGAGACACGGCCCAGACUCCUACGGGAGGCAGCAGUGGGGAAUAUUGGACAAUGGGCGGAAGCCUGAUCCAGCAAUACCGCGUGUGUGAAGAAGGCCUGAGGGUUGUAAAGCACUUUCAAUAGGGAGGAAAAAGGUAGGUUUAAUACGUCUGCCCUUGACAUUACCUAUAGAAGAAGCACCGGCUAACUCCGUGCCAGCCGCCGCCGUAAGAC